rnacentral:lncRNA from 10 species
ACAAACAAUGCCACAGAAAUACAAAAGAUCAUUUGAGACUACUAUGAGCACCUCUAUACACUCAAAUGAGAAAAUCUAGAGGAAAUAGAUAAAUUCUUGGAAACAUACAACUCUUCUAGCUUGAACAAGGAAAAAAUAGAAAUCCUGAACAGACCAAUAACAAGCAGUCAGGUUGAAUCAGUCAUUUAAAAAAUUGCCAACAAACACUGAGCCCAAAGCCACAUGGAUUAACAGCCAAACUCUACCAGAUCUUCAAAAAAGAGUUGCCACAAAUCCUACUGAAACGAUUUCAUAAGAUUGAGAAAGAUAAAAUCCUCUCUAACUCAUUCUAUGAAGCCAAUAUCACCCUGAUACUAAUGCCAGGAAAGAACACUAAAAAAAAAAAAAAAAACUACAGAGCAAAAAAACAAAAAAGAGUACAUUCUGUGUGAUUCUACUCACAUAAAGUCUAAAGUCAACAAUUAAGUUGACCCAUACAGUAUUAGACUUACUCACUAACAUUACUGUGAGUAGGUCUCACAAUAAUGUUAAUAAUCGGUAACGUUGACCCAAUAGUAUUAGAUUAUACAGUAUUAGUAAUGUCAACAAUAAGUAGCUGUUGACCCAUACAGUAUUAGACCUACUCACUGACAUUAGAAUAAUGGGUCAAUGUUAGUGAGUAGGUCUAAAGUGUUAGACCUACUCUAGUGUCAACAAUUAAGUUGAUCCAUACAGAAAGUAUUAAACCUACUCAGCAACAUUAUAAUAAUGAUAUAACGCCAGACUAUAAGAUUUUUGGCCAUGCUCCGGUUAUUUCUGGUGUUUUAUAGCAGUGAUUAACUGAGCUUUGAUGAGCUCAUAAGAGGAUUCUGAGUUGGUUGUACUUAGGCUUGGAAGAGGAUUAUAUUUUAGGGGGCCAAAUCUAGUUCAAGAUAAUUAGUUUAUUGAAUGCUGGCUUUUUGUUUGGUUGGUUUGUUUCUGUCAUUUCACAUGAGAGAGGAAGCUACAUAUCUGAGGAUAACCUCGGCUUAAGGAAGCCAUCAUCCCUGAAAGGCCUUUACCUUUUACACACAGCUACUCAUGCAGACCCUUCCUCCCCUUCCUACUCUCUGAGGAAGCUACAUUUCAUCAAUGCUGUUUCCUCGUUAUUCAAUAACAUGCACUUGGUAUGCUCCAGAAUUUUUAACAGAUUCUCCUUUAUCUUGAACUCUGUGUUCAUUACAAAGAAAAUUGACCAAUAGUCAAUUCCCCAGGUAAUCCUAAAACUAGCUGUUAAACCUUCCUUUCCGAAAACUUGUCAAUAUAUCAUUGCUGCCUAUUCCUAAGACAUUUUCUAAUAAUUCUUAUUAGAUUAUAUGAAGUUGCUUAUUAUUAAAGCAACUUCAACAAUGCUUAAUAGACAAAAACAGAAGUACUAAAACAUUAAAAUGGAAGGCCACC